ACACUGGUGUUUUUCAACACCACCCUUUGACAAAGAAACUCCAUC
rfam:Saprolegnia parasitica CBS 223.65 unplaced genomic scaffold supercont2.34, whole genome shotgun sequence.